rnacentral:rRNA from 1 species
UGGGGAAUAUUGGACAAUGGGCGCAAGCCUGAUCCAGCCAUGCCGCGUGGGUGAAGAAGGCCUUCGGGUUGUAAAGCCCUUUUGUUGGGAAAGAAAAGCAGUCGGUUAAUACCCGAUUGUUCUGACGGUACCCAAAGAAUAAGCACCGGCUAACUUCGUGCCAGCAGCCGCGGUAAUACGAAGGGUGCAAGCGUUACUCGGAAUUACUGGGCGUAAAGCGUGCGUAGGUGGUUUGUUAAGUCUGAUGUGAAAGCCCUGGGCUCAACCUGGGAAUUGCAUUGGAUACUGGCAGGCUAGAGUGCGGUAGAGGGUAGUGGAAUUCCCGGUGUAGCAGUGAAAUGCGUAGAGAUCGGGAGGAACAUCCGUGGCGAAGGCGACUACCUGGACCAGCACUGACACUGAGGCACGAAAGCGUGGGGAGCAAACAGGAUUAGAUACCCUGGUAGUCCACGCCCUAAACGAUGCGAACUGGAUGUUGGGUUCAAUUAGGAACUCAGUAUCGAAGCUAACGCGUUAAGUUCGCCGCCUGGGGAGUACGGUCGCAAGACUGAAACUCAAAUGAAUUGACGGGGUCAUAGCUG